CUGACGUUAUGAAAUCAAGUGAGAAGUGGAGUCAGAAGAAACGGACUUCUUCUUGCAGCCAGUGGAGCCGCCCUCUGCUGGUCAGUCCAGAGAAUACAGGCUUCAGGCACUUCCGCAUUGGCUUCAUUUUCCGGACCAGCUCAGGACUCGUGACCCUUUUUGCCAAAACCCCGGAGGGAGCUUCCGAUGUCGUGACGGCUCAACAGGCGAGGCCGAGCUGCUGCAGACCGGAUCACACACUGCACACAAGUUUGAAGAGACUUUUCCGGCGCGAAAUAUACGUUGACGGUGAAAAAACUUCCCAAGAAGCGGUGCCAUGGUAUCAAACAGAUAACAGGGGGGGGGGGGGGUCCUAUUGGACCGCUGGGAACCAGAUGACGUGUAAUAGACUGCGGAGACGUCCUCUCUCCCACCGUGUCCCUUUUUUUUUGCAGAGAGCUCCGUGGAGAUGAUAAUAUAACUCAAAUACUGUAGCUGAUAAGAGCGCGUCUGUCGUGCUCCCCGGGAGAAAAGGGAAUCAAAUGUGAUGGAAUGGCAGCUGCAGAUAUUGAUCAGGAGAGAACACGAGAGUGAGACUCUGUGUCAUUUCUUUUUCUUUUGUGUCUUUUGGUUUGUGUCUUUCUUAAUGGGUUUUUUUCUUCGUUUUGCUUCACUUUUCUUUCUUUCCAUCUUUCUUUCUUUCCGUUUCUGUGGACGGGGCUACCCCCCUUUUUACUUUUCGAUCAAGGGAAAUGUUGAUGCUAAAGUCUUCCGUACGUACGCUUUGUGUCUCAAAUAUACCAUUUUAUUUUCUGAAAUAACAGGAUUUGUCCCGCUAUUUCCAACGGCCACGCAUACAGCACACGCAUCCGCACGUAACUGAGAGAAUUCUGAAAGAUUUGCAAUGUGUCGUUGUCAAUUUAUCAUAAGCAACACGUAUCUCCUCUAGUAGUUAAUAUGACAAUACUGCAGUGAUUCUGCAUUAACGUUAGCUUUAAUUAGAACUUGCAGUGCACAACAAACACUUUCUUUUACUGCAGCUGUACUGUACCUAAUAUGGGGAGGUGAAAGUUAUGUCGCAAAAAUUUAUUUUUAUAUAUGCUUCGGCAUUUAUAAACCAUGUUUAUCAAGAUGGCGCCGCGUAUGGCUGCCUCGGUGUGUUGCUGUGCAGCAGUUUGUCUUCCGGUAUUUUUUGUAUAUUUAUUGUAAAUGGUGUGAAUUUAAUUUGAUUUAAUUUGAUUUAAUUUGAUUUAAUUUGAUUUUAUUUUAUUUUAUUUUAUUUUAUUUU